rnacentral:rRNA from 1 species
UACGUAGGGGGCAAGCGUUGUCCGGAAUUAUUGGGCGUAAAGAGCGUGUAGGCGGUCCGGUAAGUCAGCUGUGAAAGUCAAGGGCUCAACCCUUGAAAGCCGGUUGAUACUGUCGGGCUAGAGUCCGGAAGAGGCGAGUGGAAUUCCUGGUGUAGCGGUGAAAUGCGCAGAUAUCAGGAAGAACACCCGUGGCGAAGGCGGUUCUCUGGGACGGUACUGACGCUGAGACGCGAAAGCGUGGGGAGCGAACAGG